rnacentral:rRNA from 1 species
AUUGAACGCUGGCGGCAGGCCUAACACAUGCAAGUCGAACGGUAACAGGAAGAAGCUUGCUUCUUUGCUGACGAGUGGCGGACGGGUGAGUAAUGUCUGGGAAACUGCCUGAUGGAGGGGGGUAACUACUGGAAACGGUAGCUAAUACCGCAUAACGUCGCAAGACCAAAGAGGGGGACCUUCGGGCCUCUUGCCAUCAGAUGUGCCCAGAUGGGAUUAGCUAGUAGGUGGGGUAACGGCUCACCUAGGCGACGAUCCCUAGCUGGUCUGAGAGGAUGACCAGCCACACUGGAACUGAGACACGGUCCAGACUCCUACGGGAGGCAGCAGUGGGGAAUAUUGCACAACGGGCGCAAGCCUGAUGCAGCCAUGCCGCGUGUAUGAAGAAGGCCUUCGGGUUGUAAAGUACUUUCAGCGGGGAGGAAGGGAGUAAAGUUAAUACCUUUGCUCAUUGACGUUACCCGCAGAAGAAGCACCGGCUAACUCCGUGCCAGCAGCCGCCGUAA